rnacentral:rRNA from 1 species
UACAGAGGUCUCGAGCGUUAGGCGGAAUCACUGGGCUUAAAGCGUGUGUAGGCGGAUCGUUAAGUGCCUUGUGAAAUCCCACGGCUCAACCGUGGAACUGCUUGGCAUACUGGCGGUCUUGAGCAACCUAGGGGCGAGCGGAACAAAUGGUGGAGCGGUGAAAUGCGUAGAUAUCAGUUGGAACGCCAAUGGUGAAAACAGCUCGCUGGGGGUUUGCUGACGCUGAGACACGAAAGCCAGGGGAGCAAACGGG